AAGUCGUAACAAGGUUUCCGUAGGUGAACCUGCGGAAGGAUCAUUACUGAGUGAGGGCCCCUCGGGGUCCAACCUCCCACCCGUGUUUAACGAACCUUGUUGCUUCGGCGGGCCCGCCUCACGGCCGCCGGGGGGCAUCCGCCCCCGGGCCCGCGCCCGCCGAAGCCACCUGUGAACGCUGUCUGAAGUAUGCAGUCUGAGACAAUUAUUAAAUUAAUUAAAACUUUCAACAACGGAUCUCUUGGUUCCG
rnacentral:misc_RNA from 1 species